UCCAUGGGGCUGGGGACUGUCAGGAUUUCACACAGGGCAAUUCACUUCAUAUUGGUCCUAAGAUUGAGCCUGUGAUGGGGCUGGGAUGUAGCUCAGGUGCAGGCUACUCUGCUGGAGCCCUGGGAAGCCUCGUAACUUAAUAAGGUGAAAAGGCUUAGAGGAGUUUCUUUUCUCAUCUGUCAUUUAAAUGUACUUAUUAUUAUCAUUAUUAUUAUUAUUAUCAUCAUCAUUAUCAUUAUUACCAUUAUUGUAUAUGAAAGAAAUCAUCCACAUCAUGGUUGUGGAAGUCAGAGGACAGCUUUGUGGAGUCAAUUUUCUUCUCCCACUUUACGUGGGUUCCAGAAGUCAAACCUGGGUCACCAGGCUCAUGUAGUAAGCACUUUACCCACUGAGCCAUCUUGCUGGUCCAUCAUUUUAAUAUUAAAGUUAUUUACUAUUUAUUUAUUUAUUUAUUUAUUUAUUUAUUUAUUUAUUUAUUUUACCUUCUCCUUUUACCCCCUUCCUUUUAGUUAAAGCUGGUGGUUAAGAAAGGAAAACAAACUGAAAAUUUGUACAUAGGUGAGUCUGCAACCCCGCUUUGUAGCUUUUCACCUCCAUCCUUCCGUCACCUGGGCUGGUGAAGUCUCCCUUCCCUGACAGAGCCCAUCUCUCUAAGACAAGGUUAUCACCAAGCUCUAGAGCGGCCUUGCGCUUCCUUCCUUCCCAGAACAGGGCUGUUGCUAGGCUAUUGGGAGGUCAGAAAGCCUGAGGAGGGGAGGAGUGUAAAAUAGAAGCAGAUUGGAGGCAAGAAACUGUUUUUUAAGAUUUAUUUAUUUAUUUUAUAUAUGUGAGUACACUGUAGCUGUCUUCAGACACACCAGAAGAGGACAUAGGACCCCAUUAUAGAUGGUUGUGAGCUAUCGUGUGGUUUCUGGGAAUUGAACUCAGGACCUCUGGAAGAGCAGUCAGUGCUCUUAACUGCUGAGCCAUCUCUCCAGCCCCUGGAGGCAAGAACUCUUGUUGUGGACAUCCUUGAAUGCCCUGCGAAGCCCUCCAUGCUUCUGUGUGACACCAUUAUAUACACACUUCAGUGUUUUUGGAGCUCAAACCCUGGAAGUCAGGACUGAAGGUUCCUUAUUCUGAUAGGUUAUCCGCCAGGAGCCACUUAGCUGCAUGCAGCUCAAUGGAGCCCUUGCCUUAGCAUGCUGUAAGCCUGGGUUUGAUUCCUAGCACCACAAGAAGAAAGAAAAGGCUGCUGAGAUUACCAAAGAAAUAGAUGUCAGCUUGGAGGUGGAGCCCUGGAUACACAAGGCCCUGGGUCUGCUCCCUGUCAAAUGAAUGAACAAACAGUGGCUGUGGGUAGAAAUGGAUUUUCCUGGUAACUCUGUGGUGUUGGAAACACUCACCUCAAACUGAAUUUUCUCUCCCCAGAAUUAACCUUACCUCAGUUCUACAGCUUCCUGCACGAGAUGGAGAGAGUCAGAGCGAGCAUGGAGUGCCUCAGCUGAUCCUGUUUCCCCGAUGGCUACUCCAGGGUCC
rnacentral:lncRNA from 1 species